CAAUGUGUGCUCCUAUUAGUGGAAGUGUUUGUGUUUGUGUUUUCAUUUCAAAACAUGCAUUGUUUUUUGUGUUAAGAAGGUGUAAAGUUUAUUAAUUGUGACUUUGUUAAAUUGAACGAACGAUGCACCAGUCUAUCCUAAGAGUACUCGUUCUAUCCAGUUUGGUUUGUUUUUGUGCAUGCCUCCACGUUGCUUUCGACCUUAAUGGAUGGAAGGCGUUGCCACUUGACAACAGUACGGUUGUUGUUUCAAUGAUACAAGCCGCUGCGCAUCUUGGGGGGAAGGUUUUACAAACCCGUGACAGCCUUUAAAUGGAUGGAAGGCACGCCAGAUUGGGAUUUAUACCGAGUUUCAUUCAAGGCUAUAUUUCCACAGGGAAAGGGUUAUGAAUGCCAUGCAGAUGUGGUUUGGGUAUCAAAAUCAGUCAAUAUAACAGUGUUCAAUACAGGAUGCAUUGCGAUAACUUUAAACCAGCAAUUAUAAGGGUAAAGACAGGUGUAGAAUGCAUUUUUACUCGUGGAAUUCAUGUGAUAGCCAUAAUUUUAUAAUAAGCAUUUUCUACUAUUUGCAAAAUAAAUGCUUUCCAUCAAGGCAAAGUUAUAAACAGAUUACAGUUAAAGUCCUGAAUAACGAAUGGGAAGCAACAAAUUGUUAUGAAAAUUGAAUCAUUGUGUAAACAUAAAAUUAAUAUCAAUU
rnacentral:lncRNA from 1 species